rnacentral:rRNA from 1 species
AGAGUUUGAUCAUGGCUCAGGAUGAACGCUAGCUACAGGCUUAACACAUGCAAGUCGAGGGGAAACGAUAUUGGAAGCUUGCUUCCGAUAGGCGUCGACCGGCGUACGGGUGAGUAACGCGUAUCCAACCUGCCCACCACUUGGGGAUAACCUUGCGAAAGUAAGACUAAUACCCAAUGACGUCUCUAGAAGACAUCUGAAAGAGAUUAAAGAUUUAUCGGUGAUGGAUGGGGAUGCGUCUGAUUAGCUUGUUGGCGGGGUAACGGCCCACCAAGGCAACGAUCAGUAGGGGUUCUGAGAGGAAGGUCCCCCACAUUGGGACUGAGACACGGCCCAGACUCCUACGGGAGGCAGCA